GAUGAACGCUGGCGGCGUGCCUAAUACAUGCAAGUCGAGCGAACGGACGCUACGCUUGCUUCUCUGACGUUAGCGGCGCACGGGUGAGUAACACGUGGAUCACCUACCUAUCAUACUGGGAUAACUUCGGGAAACCGGCGCUAAUACCGUAUAAUAUCUUGCACCACAUUGUUCAAUAGUGAGAUACGGUUUUUCUGUAACUUAUCGCUGGAUCCGCGCCGCAUUAGCUAGUUGUUACGGUAACGGCUUACCAAGGCAACGAUGCGUAGCCGACCGGAGAGGCGGAUCGGCCACAUGGGAGCGGAGACACGGUCCAGGCGCCUAAGAGAGGGAGCAGUAGCGAAUCGUCCGCAACGGGCGAAAGCCUGACGGAGCAACGGCGCGUGAGUGAUGAAGGUCUUGGGAUCGUAAAGCUCGGUUAUGAGGGAAGAACAAAUGUGUAAGUAAAUAUGGACGGAUUGACGGUACCUAAUAAGAAAGCCACGGCUAACUACGUG
rnacentral:rRNA from 1 species